UUAAAAUACGUGCUGCAACUGAAGUUGUGAGUGAGAAAAAGUGCAGUGAAGGAACAAGGCAAGAAAAUGGAGUUUUAGAAACUACACAGUAAACGACUGCUGAUAAAUUGCUGAAUCCUGAUAGUUAAAAAGUUCUCAAAAAAAUAUCUGUUGAAUGAAUGAGUAAAUGGAGCAAAAAAGCUAACUUCUGGGUGCCACAGAAAGAGAGUCCAUGUUAUUGUUGACAUCCUUGUAAAGAAUGCAAAGUUGUCUGAGCACUUCAGCAAUGGUUUCUGCAAGCAAUGUGCAAAUUUGGAGACAGCCUUCCCUGUUCUUCUGAGCAGGCCUGGGAUGACCUCUGCCUGUUUUCAACCAUUAUUGAUGCGCAAUUUAUGAGAGGAUGAUGUGGCAAAAUGAUUUGAAAAUUGGAAGUGAUUUACUGCACAACUUAAAUAUUUUGUCUUAUCAUUACAGCAACUCUAUAAGGUGAGUACACUGGGAAGGAUAAAUUUUAUUAAAAUAAAUAGAAGGAAAGACGAAGUUUUGCCU